rnacentral:rRNA from 1 species
UACGAAGGGGGCUAGCGUUGCUCGGAAUUACUGGGCGUAAAGGGAGCGUAGGCGGAUAGUUUGGUCAGAGGUGAAAGCCCAGGGCUCAACCUUGGAAUUGCCUUUGAUACUGGCUAUCUUGAGUGUGGGAGAGGUAUGUGGAACUCCGAGUGUAGAGGUGAAAUUCGUAGAUAUUCGGAAGAACACCAGUGGCGAAGGCGACAUACUGGCCCAUUACUGACGCUGAGGCUCGAAAGCGUGGGGAGCAAACAGG